rnacentral:lncRNA from 1 species
UCAGCUGAAUUCUAUAACAUUUCUUCAAUUUGACCAGACCGGUUGAGGCUCCAGCAAAUGAGGUUACCAAAAAAUCUAAUUCGCAGCCCAAAAUAAACCCGUCAAAGUUAUAUUUUUCACCUUACCUGGAGACUGGAACUCAGAACAGCCAGAUGCGAUUCAACUUCUGUGUAAUUGAAGCUCUCCACUUCUUUGAUUCUUCAGUUCCUCAUCAAUUCCGUAACGUUCCAUGUGAACUCUUCACUUCCUCCAACAUCAACAUAUAUUAAGUUACCAGCGUACAUUCCUGCACUCCAGU